rnacentral:rRNA from 1 species
CCUACGGGCGGCUGCAGUGGGGAAUUUUGGACAAUGGGGGAAACCCUGAUCCAGCCAUGCCGCGUGUCUGAAGAAGGCCUUCGGGUUGUAAAGGACUUUUGUCCGGGAGCAAAUACGCAGUGCUAAUAACGCUGCGGGCUGAGAGUACCGGAAGAAUAAGCACCGGCUAACUACGUGCCAGCAGCCGCGGUAAUACGUAGGGUGCAAGCGUUAAUCGGAAUUACUGGGCGUAAAGCGUGCGCAGGCGGUUAGACAAGCCAGAUGUGAAAGCCCCG